GCUGACGAGUGGCGGACGGGUGAGUAAUGUCUGGGAAACUGCCUGAUGGAGGGGGAUAACUACUGGAAACGGUAGCUAAUACCGCAUAACGUCGCAAGACCAAAGAGGGGGACCUUCGGGCCUCUUGCCAUCGGAUGUGCCCAGAUGGGAUUAGCUAGUAGGUGGGGUAACGGCUCACCUAGGCGACGAUCCCUAGCUGGUCUGAGAGGAUGACCAGCCACACUGGAACUGAGACACGGUCCAGACUCCUACGGGAGGCAGCAGUGGGGAAUAUUGCACAAUGGGCGCAAGCCUGAUGCAGCCAUGCCGCGUGUAUGAAGAAGGCCUUCGGGUUGUAAAGUACUUUCAGCGGGGAGGAAGGGAGUAAAGUUAAUACCUUUGCUCAUUGACGUUACCCGCAGAAGAAGCACCGGCUAACUCCGUGCCAGCAGCCGCGGUAAUACGGAGGGUGCAAGCGUUAAUCGGAAUUACUGGGCGUAAAGCGCACGCAGGCGGUUUGUUAAGUCAGAUGUGAAAUCCCCGGGCUCAACCUGGGAACUGCAUCUGAUACUGGCAAGCUUGAGUCUCGUAGAGGGGGGUAGAAUUCCAGGUGUAGCGGUGAAAUGCGUAGAGAUCUGGAGGAAUACCGGUGGCGAAGGCGGCCCCCUGGACGAAGACUGACGCUCAGGUGCGAAAGCGUGGGGAGCAAAC
rnacentral:rRNA from 1 species